CAGGAGAUGGGCUGAAGGCUGUGCUGGGAGCACUAUGGUGGCUGGAUUUCUUGUCGUUUUCCAAUGAGGCUCGCCCAUGAAAUGAUGGACAAUCUGGAUCUCAGGGGAUGGCAGACUCUCCCAACACAGUGGCUAGCAGGGUGUAUACUCCCACUGCACUACGGGGUUGCAGCCUGUGAAUGCACAGGGCAUGCUCUCACCUUGGAACCUC
rnacentral:lncRNA from 1 species